rnacentral:rRNA from 1 species
UUCUCAGCGAGCUCCUCCGCCGGCCGCACGUCAUAUUCCACCGGUACGGCGGCGGCAGCGGCGCAAUCGCCGGUGCCAUAUCGGCAGGGUCCGCUGCAGUACGAGCCCCAAAACUUGCGCGGCUGCAGAGUGGAAGCACCCCGAUGGAUUUCCUGGGGUGUGAAGAACCCAGGGCGCAGGUGCUACAAUUGCGAAAAUCAAAGUUCAAUGCAAUGUCAGGGUGUGGACUGCAGGUUCUUUGAGUGGCAUGAUGGUCCAAAUACUCCAUUUCUGAAUUCGCUGGUCGGUGACUUGCGUGAUACUGUGUAUCAUCUGAAAACAGAGAAGAAACAGUUG